AAAGAGAACAAGAUGAACUUAGAACCAACUACACCAGAGUUAAAGAACAGCUUCAACUUCAUGAUGAUCUGAAGAGGAUGCAGCAGUAUGCAGUGGAUGUGACUCUGGAUCCUGGAUACAGCUCAUCCAUAUCUCAUCCUGUCUGAUGAUGGAAAACAAGUGAGCUGUGGAGAUAUUGGACAGAAACUCCCAGACAAACCAGAGAGAUUUAAUAGCACUGUAAGUGUCCUGGGAAAGGAGGGAUUCUCCUCUGGGAGAUUUUAUUUUGAGGUGCAGGUGAAGGGAAAGACUGACUGGAGUUUAGGAGUGGCCAGAGAAUCCAUUAACAGGAAGGGACAGAUCAUACUGACUCCCAGUAGAGGAUUCUGGACUGUGUGGCUGAGGAAUGAGAAUGAAUAUGCAGCUCUCUCUGAUCCCUUUGUCUCUCUGUCUCUGAGGGUGAAGCCGCAGCGGGUCGGUGUGUUUGUGGAUUAUGAGGAGGGUCUGGUCUCCUUUUAUGAUGUGAAGUCCAGCUCUCAUAUCUACUCUUACACUGGUCAGUCUUUCACUGGGAAACUCUAUCCUUAUUUUAGCCCAUAUCUAAACAAUAAAGGUAAAAACUCAGCUCCACUGAUCAUCACACCUGUCUAAUACAAUAAAUGAAUUUACUGUAUACCUAAUGUGAAA